rnacentral:snRNA from 1 species
GUGCUUGCUUUAGCAGCACAUAAACUAAAAUUGGAAAGAUACAGAAGAGAUUAGCAUGGCCCCUGCAAAAGGAUGACACACAAAUUCGUGAAAUGUUCCAUAUUCUU